rnacentral:misc_RNA from 1 species
UCCGGUUUGGCACCGGCAGUCCUCCCAGAGUCCCCGCCAUGACGCGCUGGCAACUGGGAGCGGGGGUUGCGCUCGUUGCGGGACUUAACCCAACAUCUCACGUCACGAGCUGACGACAGCCAUGCGGCACCUGUGCAUGGACUCCGAAGAGGGGCCGAUGUUUCCACCGGCUUUCCCAUGCAUGUCAAGCCCAGGUAAGGUUCUUCGCGUUGCUUCGAAUUAAACCACAUGCUCCACCGCUUGUGCGGGCCCCCGUCAAUUCCUUUGAGUUUCACCGUUGCCGGCGUACUCCCCAGGUGGAUCACUUAUCGCUUUCGCUAAGCCGCUGACUGUGUAUCGCCAACAGCGAGUGAUCAACGUUUACAGUGUGGACUAC